rnacentral:sRNA from 1 species
GUCGUGCUGAUUCGAUCGGGAUAGUCAUCAAAUAAUUAAGAAAAACCGGGAUGAUUUCCCUUGUUAAUGGCGGGCCACAUAAAUCGCAUUUCCGCGACUAAGUCUUCGGACCGGUGGAUUACAACGACGGGGAACUCCUACAAUUUUUGUAACUCGGACUUUUCAUCACAUCGUCAGUGCGACUCUUA